rnacentral:lncRNA from 1 species
GAUGUUGGUGAACGCGGUACUAUCGAUAAUACUAUCGUAUUUUUGCAAUUCUAUUGCAAUUAUUAUUAUUUCAAUUCAAUUAAAUUAUAGCAUUGAAGUACCCUACAGAAAAUAUGUCUAAUUUUUUUAAAACAGAUCCCUAAGCGUUUUUCUUAAAACCCGCGUUCAUAAGCAAAAGCUUCAUGAAAGUGAACUUCACCGAGAAGAACAAGAUUAAAGAGAGCAAUAGUAAACAACAAGUGUCGUCGUCGAUAAGCGUAAUGCGAAGUAGUAAAAGUAAACGCAUCAUCAGUUUAUCUAGAAAAGAUAACAUUGAUUCCCGGGAUGAUAUUCUUUCGAAAAGUGGACUACAGUUCUGUCGAAAAGAAGACACUUCCGAAAUCUAGGUAGCAUUCACACAGCUUAAAUUGCCAAGUUAAAGAUUCAUUAAAAUCCGCUAAAAUAAAAUUUCCUAGCCCAACGGCUUCAUUAAGUCGACGAUUUCCUCAGUGACGGACAUGGCGACAUGAACUCAUAAUAACUUGAAGCUCACCCAAAUUGAUAGCAAUCCAGCGGACUUAAGCGCAGUGAUCUAAAGACUCAAGAUAAAGAAUUCGAGACGUUUGAGACAUAUUCAAAGCCUUUGGUGAGCUGUAUUCCUUACGUAUUCACAUCGUGACUUUGGCUUUGUUGACUAAAUCUCCAAGUAGAGUCCGAAAGCGCCUUCAACACUUUUAGAGCCAGUACUCAUUUCUACUGCCGUCAAUUGGUGCUUGAGUAGAGCGCCAAAGAUAAACAACCUGGGCGUGGAGGAGCAUUGC